rnacentral:lncRNA from 1 species
CUCAGCUUUCUUCUCCGGCCCCUGCAUCUCAGCCUAAUGCGACAGCACCACCUGUGUCUUCUCCUCCUCCAAUCUCACCCCCACUAUCUGCUCCUCCCCCGACCUCACCACCACUUCCACAAUCUCCUCCUCCAAGUAAAGUGACAUCGCCACCUCCAAGUAACGCGACAUCCCCUCCUCCAAGUAACGCGACUUCACCACCUCCAAGUAACGUGACAUCCCCUCCUCCAAGUAACGUGACAUUUCCUCCUCCAAUGGCUUCCCCGCCCACAGCAUCCACUCCUCUAACCAAUGAUCCACCUCCAGCUGUUAGCCCUCCACCUAGCUCGCCUUCCAGUUCACCGCCACCUCAAUCUUCUCCUCCGCCUUCCAGUUCACCACCACCUCAAUCUUCUCCUCCCCCCGAUAGUUCUCCUCCACCUACCCCACCAGUUAGUUCGUCACCACCUCCAAAAGUAGAGACUCCAUCUGUCUCACCUCCCCCACAACCAACUCCUCCUACAAGUUCAUCUCCACCACCUCCAAAAGUUGAUCCUCCUCCUACCUCACCUCCACCACAAGGAACCACUCCUCCAAGUUCACCUUCACCACCUCCGAAAGAUGAUCCUCCACCUGAUUCACCUCCACCACCUGCACAGAAUCCGGAUCCUUCUCCACCACCACAAUCUCCUAAACCUCCAAAAGGUUCAUCCCCUUCACCACCCACUAAUUCACCUCCUUCACCACCCGCGAAUUCACCUCCUUCACCAGCAUUUGUGCCACCACAAGGUUCACCUCCUGCCCCAGCCUCUGACAAACCUAAUAAUUCACCACCUUUACCUGCGAAUUCACCUCCAUCGCCAGCAUUUACGCCACCACGAGGUUCACCUCCUACGUCAUCCUUGGAACCUCCUAAUAAUACACUUCCUUCACCGCCAGUUGCUCCAGGUGGAACCACUACCAAUUCAUCCAGUAACAAUGCAGCA